AGUCGUACACGUUUCCGUAGGUGAACCUGCGGAAGGAUCAU
rnacentral:rRNA from 1 species